ACUCUAUCAAGUAUCUCAAAAGGUCUAAUAUACCGGGGUCGUAGCUUGCCUUUCUUUCCAAAUCUAAGUACACCUUUCAUCGGUGCUACUUUUAGAAACACUUUAUCCCCAACUUGGAAUUCUAAAUCCUUCCUCCUUGUAUCUGCAUAGCUCUUUUGUCGAUCCUGUGCUACCUUUAUUCUUACACGGAUCUUAUCGAUUACCUCGACC
rnacentral:lncRNA from 1 species